rnacentral:rRNA from 1 species
GUGCCAGCCGCCGCGGUAAUACGUAGGUGGCAAGCGUUAUCCGGAAUUAUUGGGCGCAAAGCGCGCGUAGGCGGUUUUUUAAGUCUGAUGUGAAAGCCCACGGCUCAACUCUGGAGGGUCAUUGGAGACUGGAAAACUUGAGUGCAGAAGAGGAAAGUGGAAUUCCAUGUGUAGCGGUGAAAUGCGCAGAGAUAUGGAGGAACACCAGUGGCGAAGGCGACUUCCUGGUCUGUAACUGACGCUGAUGUGCGAAAGCGUGGGGAUCAAAC